GGCGGCGUGCCUAAUACAUGCAAGUGAAACGGGUAUCUUCGGAUACCAGUCGCGGACGGGUGAGUAAUACAUAGGCAACCUGCCUUUAUGAGGGGGAUAACCGAGGGAAACUUUGGCUAAUACCGCAUGAAGACUCUAAGGCAUCUUAGAGGGAUAAAAGUCGGGAAACAACGCAUGAAGAUGGGCUUAUGGCGCAUUAGCUAGUUGGUGAGAUAGAAGCCCACCAAGGUAAUGAUGCGUAGCCGACCUGAGAGGGUGAACGGCCACAUUGGGACUGAGACACGGCCCAAACUCCUACGGGAGGCAGCAGUAGGGAAUUUUCGGCAACUGGGGGGAACCCUGACCGAGCAACGCCGCGUGAAGGAAAGAAGGUUUUCGGAUUGUAAACUUCUGUUAUAAGGGAAGAACGGAUUGGAUAGGGAAUGAUCUGAUAGUGACGGUACCUUAUUAGAAAGCCACGGCUAACUACGUGCCAGCAGCUGC
rnacentral:rRNA from 1 species